rnacentral:piRNA from 1 species
CCAGAGGACAUAACCAAUAUUUCCAGGGAG